rnacentral:rRNA from 1 species
UAGAGUUUGAUCCUGGCUCAGGACGAACGCUGGCGGCACGCUUAACACAUGCAGUCGAACGAGCGAAAGGUGCUUGCACCUCUAGCUAGUGGCGGACGGGUGAGUAACACGUGAGCAAUCUGCCUUUCGGUGGGGGGUACCAAUUGGAAACGAUUGUUAAUACCCCCUAAACAUAACGAAGCCCCAUGACUUUGUUUUCAAAAAUUUAUUUGCCGGAAAAAAAAGCUCCCCGCUCGAUUAAGUAGUUGGUGAGGUAACGGCUCACCAAGCCGACAAUAAAUAACCCGACUGAGAAGUUGAACGGCCCCCUUGGGACGGAGAAACGGGCCAAACUCCUACUGGAGGCGCCAGUGGGAAAAUAGCACAAUGGGGGGAAAACCUGAUGGACCCAUCCCCCGUGGGGGGAAAAAAGUUUUUUGAUUUGUAACCCCUUGUCUUUUGGGGCGAUGAUAGAGAGUCCCCACGGAGGGAAGGUCCCGCUAUAUUAUAUGGCAC